GCUGGGCAUGAUGGUGCAUGCCUGUAGUCCCAGCUACUCGGGAGGCUGAGGUGGGAGGAUAGCUUGAGGCCAGGACUUCUGUGCUAUAGUGCGCCAUGCCGAUCGGGUGUCUCCACUAAGUUCGGCUGGAAUAUGGUGACCUCCCAGGAUCUGGGGACCCCACCAGGUUGCCUAAGGAGAGGUGAACUGGCCCAGGUUGGAAACAGAGCAAGUCAAUACUCCCGAGCUGAUCAGUAGCGGGAUCGCGCCUGUGAAUAGCCACUGCACUCCAGCUUGGGCAACAUAGGGAGACCCCGUCUCU
rnacentral:SRP_RNA from 1 species